GCGAACGCUAGCGGCGGGCCUAACACAUGCAAGUCGAGCGCAUACUUUCGGGUAUGAGCGGCGGACGGGUGAGUAACACGUAGGUAGUCUGCCCUAUGGUGGGGGAUAACCCGGGGAAACCCGGGCUAAUACCGCAUACGGCCUUCGGGUCAAAGCCUUCGGGCGCCAAAGGAUGAGCCUGCGUCGCAUUACCUAGUUGGUGGGGUAAAAGCCUACCAAGGGGACGAUGCGUAGCUGGUCUGAGAGGAUGAUCAGCCACACUGGGACUGAGACACGGCCCAGACUCCUACGGGAGGCAGCAGUGGGGAAUAUUGCGCAAUGGGCGAAAGCCUGACGCAGCUACGCCGCGUGGGUGAUGAAGGCCUUCGGGUUGUAAAGCCCUGUCGGGAGGGACGAAGUUCUGACGGUACCUCCCAAGAAAGCACCGGCUAACUCCGU
rnacentral:rRNA from 1 species